UGAAGGUAAAAUUUAUAUUAUGGAUAUGAUUUGUGGGGGUAUUUUGCCAACAGUAAUGUUAUUAGUGUUAUAAGUUAGCAGUACACUUAUUAACCGGACCCAGGGUGAGUCUGA